rnacentral:rRNA from 1 species
GACGAACGCUGGCGGCGUGCUUAACACAUGCAAGUCGAACGCUGAAGCUCAGCUUUUGUUGGGUGGAUGAGUGGCGAACGGGUGAGUAACACGUGAGUAACCUGCCCCCUUCUUUGGGAUAACGCCCGGAAACGGGUGCUAAUACUGGAUAUUCACUGGUCUUCGCAUGGGGGUUGGUGGAAAGGGCUUUUCUGGUGGGGGAUGGGCUCGCGGCCUAUCAGCUUGUUGGUGGGGUGAUGGCCUACCAAGGCUUUGACGGGUAGCCGGCCUGAGAGGGUGACCGGUCACAUUGGGACUGAGAUACGGCCCAGACUCCUGCGGGGGGCAGCAGUGGGGAAUAUUGCACAAUGGGCGCAAGCCUGAUGCAGCGACGCCGCGUGAGGGAUGGCGGCCUUCGGGUUGUGAACCUCUUUCGCUCAUGGUCAAGCCGCAACAAUGGUUGUGGUGAGGGUAGUGGGUAAAGAAGCGCCGGCUAACUACGUG